UAUCGGAUUGAUACUAAGCCAUGCGAGUCAUUGCAGCAAUGCAAGGCAGACGGCUCAGUAGCGCGUAGUCAACCUACCCUAUGGACGGGAAUAACCUCGGGAAACUGAGUAUAAUGCCCGAUAGAACACUAUUCCUGGAAUGGUUUGUGUUCCAAAUGAUUUAUCGCCGUAGGAUGGGACUGCGGCCUAUCAGUUUGUUGGUGAGGUAAUGGCCCACCAAGACUAUUACAGGUACGGGCUCUGAGAGGAGUAGCCCGGAGAUGGGUACUGAGACACGGACCCAGGCCCUAUGGGGCGCAGCAGGCGAGAAAACUUUGCAAUGUGCGAAAGCACGACAAGGUUAAUCCGAGUGGUUUGUGCUAAACGAACCUUUUGACAGUCCUAGAAACACUGUUGAAUAAGGGGUGGGCAAGUUCUGGUGUCAGCCGCCGCGGUAAAACCAGCACCUCAAAGUGGUCAGGAUGAUUAUUGGGCCUAAAGCAUCCGUAGCCGGCUCUGUAAGUUUUCGGUUAAAUCUGUACGCUCAACGUACAGGCUGCCGGGAAUACUGCAGAGCUAGGGAGUGGGAGAGGUAGACGGUACUCGGUAGGAAGGGGUAAAAUCCUUUGAUCUAUUGAUGACCACCUGUGGCGAAGGCGGUCUACCAGAACACGUCCGACGGUGAGGGAUGAAAGCUGGGGGAGCAAACCGGAUUAGAUACCCGGGUAGUCCCAGCUGUAAACUAUGCAAACUCAGUGAUGCAUUGGCUUGUGGCCAAUGCAGUGCUGCAGGGAAGCCGUUAAGUUUGCCGCCUGGGAAGUACGUACGCAAGUAUGAAACUUAAAGGAAUUGGCGGGGGAGCACCACAAGGGGUGAAGCCUGCGGUUCAAUUGGAUUC
rnacentral:rRNA from 1 species